UAGAAAACACCCCAGUACUUCCUUUUCACCCACUUGUCUCUUUAUAAAUUUACUUUUUCAACACAUAACAAAUGCUUAUUUGAUACUGUGGAAUCAAAAUGAUAAAUCAUAUAAUCAUGAAUCCUCAGUUCGGUGAGCAAAGUAUACAUAUUUUUUUUAAUUAAUUAAAAGAGCCUAACAUAAGUAUUGUGAUGGCAGAAGAGCCAGUGUGCUGUGGGAGCCCAGAGAAGAGAGAAAAUAUAUUAAAAAGACAGGAAAACCUUCACCAGGAAGACACCACUUUUGUUGGGUCCUGGGGCAUGAGUAAGAGUUUGCUGGUAUUUUCAACCGCCAUUCCUUGCCUCUUAAUUAUUCAGCAUAUAAUCAGAUUCCAAAUAGCUUUUGCAAGUUGUGUCUUCUUUAUGUAAGUUAAAAAUUAUAAAUAGUUUCAAUGGCUUUCCUCUGGUUAUCUAAAGGAGUUGAAGUAAAAUCACCUUGUCCUAUGGAGAAAGUAUUAGAGUUCUUCGGGCAGUACAGUUGAAUGAAAAAUAAGAGGCUCUUACAGAGAAGGCAGGGGGCCCUCAUUGUGAGCCAGAGAUUUGAGGGGUUUUGUUGUUGUAUGUUUUGUUUGUUUGUUCAUUAUUAGCAAAGCCUAGGCUUCCUCAGUGUCAGGGGAGUUGUCUAUAGAGUUAGGACCAAGGACUGCAUCAAAUCAAGGCAGGAUAAGAAAUGUAGUUUCUUUAACGAAGUUGUAUUUUUGCUCUUUCUAUCUCUUUUGCUCUACUAAGCAUUUACAUAAUGUCUCUUGCUUGAAAAGGGCAGUCUUUCUGUGGGUCUACAGAGAGGGAACUCUAGAAGAUGCAGAGACGGCAUCUCAUCCAAGGUUUUAGGGCCUUGCCAUGGGCUUUGCAAUGUAGGCGCAUAAUAAAUGUAGGUUCUACCAAACAGAAGGUUCCAACCCAAGCUCCCUCCUUUCAGAUUUUAUUUCUAUUCUCAGACGGAUUUGCCUCCUCUGCCACCUAUUGGCAGGAGGAAACAUUGUCUGGCUGAGCUCACCAUAAGCGUUCAAACCUCAGCUCAGAUGAAGAUAAGUAACCAAGAAACUGGCAUCACCACACAUUAUCUCCUCCACCAUGACUGUUCUAGGCUAGAAGAGAAUAUUAGUGGCAGGGGGUAAGAGGCAACAUCUUGGUCCAGGAAUGAUAGCAGAGCACACAAAAGUGCAAUGGAAUUCCUGGCUACUGUGCUUUCCUUUGCUACAACAAAAUAUGUUCUCUGUUGAAACACUAGAUCAAUAUGCUGAGGCUCAAGGAGAUCAAGCAAAUUGCCCAGAAGUCACCUUGCUAGCCAGUAGUCUACAUUUCAAUCAUUCAGCAACUGUUUGUUAAGCCAAUAAUCUCUGCAAGCAAUGUACUGAGGACUAACUCUACACUGGUAAACAGGACAGACCCACUCUUUGCCAUAAUAAUGACAUAAAAAUGGCCAGCAUUUACAUGUUUAAGGUCUUACUAGGUCUUCAGCUUUAUUUUGUUUUACUCUCACCAAAACUCUAGUGAUAUAGAUACUACCAACAGAAUACACAAUUUUCAAUGAGAAAUUGAGUUUUAAAGAAGAACCUUCUCAAGAUCCUAGUGCUGGUAGAUGAACUAGUUAGGACAGGUGUAUGAAUUCGUAAAAUCUUAUUUUCAAGUUCAUUUUUCCUGUUACUAUGCUAUGCUUCUUCCUGGAGCUUAAAGUCCAGUGGGCAAGAAGGACACUAACAGUAAACCACAAAUAAAUACAUGAGCUUUUCAGGCUACCUUAUAGACCCCUCAGAAAGAUUAAUCCAGGGCCAGUAGACUUCUUAUUAUACUUCAGUAACAUCACCUUCCUCUGGCUUGACAGGUCCGUGAGGUUAUGAAAUUGUGUGUGUUGAUGUCUGCCAGGUUGUUGAUUCUUAUAAUAUGCAUGAUGUCAGGCAAACCCAAUUUUUAUAUGAUGGUUUCUAUUGAAUGUAAAAAAAAAAACAAAAAAAAAA